rnacentral:rRNA from 1 species
UACGUAGGGGGCGAGCGUUAUCCGGAAUUACUGGGCGUAAAGCGCACGCAGGCGGUUCGCCAAGUUUGGAGUGACAGUUGGUGGCUUAACUGCCAAAGUGCUUCAAAAACUGGUGAACUUGAGGACGAGGGAGGAACAUGGAACUCCAGGUGUAGUAGUGAAAUGCGUAGAUAUCUGGAAGAACACCAAUGGCGAAGGCAAUGUUCUGGCUCGUUUCUGACGCUCAGGUGCGAAAGCCAGGGGAGCGAA